CCUACGGGGGGCAGCAGUGGGGAAUAUUGGACAAUGGGGGCAACCCUGAUCCAGCCAUGCCGCGUGUGUGAAGAAGGCCCUCGGGUUGUAAAGCACUUUCAGUGAGGAAGAACGCCUGGUGGUUAAUACCCAUCAGGAAAGACAUCACUCACAGAAGAAGCACCGGCUAACUCCGUGCCAGCAGCCGCGGUAAUACGGAGGGUGCGAGCGUUAAUCGGAAUUACUGGGCGUAAAGCGCGCGUAGGUGGCUUGAUAAGCCGGUUGUGAAAGCCCCGGGCUCAACCUGGGAACGGCAUCCGGAACUGUCAAGCUAGAGUGCAGGAGAGGAAGGUAGAAUUCCCGGUGUAGCGGUGAAAUGCGUAGAGAUCGGGAGGAAUACCAGUGGCGAAGGCGGCCUUCUGGACUGAAGCUGACACUGAGGUGCGAAAGCGUGGGUAGCAAACAGGAUUAGAUACCCGAGUAGUC
rnacentral:rRNA from 1 species